CCUACGGGAGGCAGCAGUGGGGAAUCUUGCACAAUGGGGGAAACUCUGAUCCAGCGACGCCGCGUGAGUGAAGAAGUAUUUCGGUAUGUAAAGCUCUAUUAGUCGGGAAGAAGAAAGACGGUACUUGCCUAACAACCCCUGGCUAACUACGUGCCAGCAGCCGCGGUAAUACGUAGGGCGCAAGCGUUAUCAGGAUGUACUGGGUGUAAAGGGAGCGUAGGCGGUUGUGCAAGUCUGAAGUGAAAGCCCAGGGUGCAACCCUGGGACUGCUUUGGAAACCGUGGGGCUAGAGUGCUGGAGAGGAAAGUGGAAUUCCGAGUGUAGCGGUGAAAUGCGUAGAUAUUAGGAGGAACACCAGUGGCGAAGGCGGCUUACUGGACAGUAACUGACGUUGAGGCUCGAAAGCGUGGGGAGCAAACAGGAUUAGAUACCCUGGUAGUC
rnacentral:rRNA from 1 species